ensembl:lncRNA
AAAAAAACAACAAACACCCAAAAACCUUAGCAAAGAGGAGUCAUCUGAUGGUAGUUGAAGAGGUAUGAAGUAUGUUUCUGGGAGGAAGAUGUGUUUGCCGGGCUUAGUAAAAAAUUUCUAGGUAUAUAAUAUCCUUCUCUAUUUCUUUCAGGUCGAACAAUGACAAAAUAUCACUCCAUUGCUGCAAAAGUAAGAAGAAAUUCAGAAAAUUGUCUCAAAGCUGACCUAGAAAGGAAUUGGACAUGACUUUCAGAAUGAAAGACAAAGUAACAUAGUAAUUCAACCCUGAGAAUGUAUUUUCAUAAGGGAAAUCUUCUUCUGCAGGUUGUGAUGGCAGUAUUCAAAGUAUAUGGGGAAGGACAACCAAGUUGAACUCAGAUUGCUUACCAGCUGGAAAAGAAAGAAGUCAUUACAACCUGUUACAACCUGUUACAUUUGAAGGGAACUUCUGGAAAUUCUUAGAGGGCAGUGAGGCUCUGGCAUAGGCUGCCCGGAGAAGCUGUGGUUGCCCUAUCCCUGAAGGUGCUGAAGGCCAGGUUGGAUGGGGCCCUGGGCACUUUAUUUGUUCCAGGUACCUGUCUGGAAGAGAAGAACUACAUUCACCAAGAGCCUUUUCAAGUACUGUUAUCAUUCCUGCUCAAGGGAACAGAUAUAAGGGCGCAGGUCAUCUGACUCUUCCCUCUUCUCAUCUCGCCGUGUUCCCUGCCGGAUCGGCUCACUACUGCUGCUCCCAACUGCACACAAGGCUUCAAGUAUUGGUGUAAGGCCUUCAGCUCUCGGACAAUCUUUCUCUCAAUUAUUGUUGAUUUAUAUUGUAUUAUAGUGUGUUAUCUUACAUUCCGAUACUAUAUUUAGUAAAUUAGUUUGUUUCUCC